rnacentral:rRNA from 1 species
AUUGAACGCUGGCGGCAUGCCUUACACAUGCAAGUCGAACGGCAACAGGUCUUCGGAUGCUGACGAGUGGCGAACGGGUGAGUAAUACAUCGGAACGUGCCUAGUAGUGGGGGAUAACUACUCGAAAGAGUGGCUAAUACCGCAUGAGAUCUACGGAUGAAAGCAGGGGAUCGCAAAACCUUGUGCUACUAGAGCGGCCGAUGGCAGAUUAGGUCGUUGGUGGGAUAAAAGCUUACCAAGCCGACGAUCUGUAGCUGGUCUGAGAGGACGAUCAGCCACACUGGGACUGAGACACGGCCCAGACUCCUACGGGAGGCAGCAGUGGGGAAUUUUGGACAAUGGGCGAAAGCCUGAUCCAGCAAUGCCGCGUGCAGGAUGAAGGCCUUCGGGUUGUAAACUGCUUUUGUACGGAACGAAAAGCCCCGGGUUAAUACCCUGGGGUCAUGACGGUACCGUAAGAAUAAGCACCGGCUAACUACGUGCCAGCCGCCGCCGUAA